UACGAAGGGGGCGAGCGUUGUUCGGAAUUACUGGGCGUAAAGGGCGCGCAGGCGGCCUUAGAAGUCAGAUGUGAAAGCCCCGGGCUCAACCUGGGAAUGGCAUUUGAUACUCUGAGGCUGGAGUACGGGAGAGGAGAGUGGAAUUCCCAGUGUAGAGGUGAAAUUCGUAGAUAUUGGGAAGAACACCGGUGGCGAAGGCGGCUCUCUGGACCGUAACUGACGCUCAUGCACGACAGCGUGGGGAUCAAACAGG
rnacentral:rRNA from 1 species